AGAAAGAUAAGCUAAUUAAGCUUUUAGGUUCAUACCCUAAAUAUAGGAAUUAAUUUCCUUCUUUUUA
rnacentral:tRNA from 1 species